UACGUGAAAUAUUACACUGAUAUACAUAAGACAAAAUAGUAAAAUGAUUCGCGUUUAAAAAGACACCGAGACGAAACGUACGAUGUCACGUGACCAACAGCGGCUGUUUCAUACUAUUCCACUCUGUUUGAGUCUUCGCGUCAUCUCGCGACCACUAGUAUUUCUCGUAUCUUUUAAGCUUGAUCUACAAUGUGUUCUUUGCUUCCUAUUUCUUGUUUUCUGUAUUUUUUUAGUUUAAGGUUUAAGGCUUGAGUCAGAAAGAGAUAAAGAAAAAGUAACAGGAAGCAAAGAACACAUUAUAGAUCAAGCUUUAAUCUGUCAAAGCCGACGUCUAUCGCGUCAUGUCAGGAGAAUGGAGGGAAAUUGAGCAAGUGCACUUGUUUGUGUCGAAAAUGAUAAAUGCUUAAAAUUCGACGACUACACUACGCCUUCGUGCUUUGUACACUAGUCUUUUGGCAUCAGACACUGGUUAAGCAAUUCAAGCAACAUGGAAUUUUCUAUAGCUGCAGCUACUCGUUCUUUGUCAGCGAGCUGUUUGUUCAACGAUGCUUCUGAGACAUGACUGCCAGGAGUGAUCUCCACAGA